rnacentral:rRNA from 1 species
UGGGGAAUUUUGGACAAUGGGCGAAAGCCUGAUCCAGCCAUGCCGCGUGAGUGAAGAAGGCCUUCGGGUUGUAAAGCUCUUUUAGUCGGAAAGAAAGAGAUGCAAUGAAUAAUUGUGAUUUAUGACGGUACCGACAGAAAAAGCACCGGCUAACUACGUGCCAGCAGCCGCGGUAAUACGUAGGGUGCGAGCGUUAAUCGGAAUUACUGGGCGUAAAGGGGGCGCAGGCGGUUUGGCAAGUCAGAUGUGAAAGCCCCGGGCUCAACCUGGGAAUGGCGUUUGAAACUACAAGGCUAGAGUGCAGCAGAGGGGAGUGGAAUUCCAGGUGUAGCAGUGAAAUGCGUAGAGAUGGGGAAGAACACCGAUGGCGAAGGCAGCUCCCUGGGUUGACACUGACGCUCAUGCACGAAAGCGUGGGGAGCAAACA